rnacentral:rRNA from 1 species
UACGUAGGGUGCGAGCGUUGUCCGGAAUUAUUGGGCGUAAAGGGCUCGUAGGCGGUCUGUCACGUCAGGAGUGAAAACUCGGGGCUCAACCCCGAGCCUGCUUCUGAUACGGGCAGACUGGAGGUAUGCAGGGGAGAACGGAAUUCCUGGUGUAGCGGUGAAAUGCGCAGAUAUCAGGAGGAACACCGGUGGCGAAGGCGGGUCUCUGGGCAGUAACUGACGCUGAGGAGCGAAAGCGUGGGGAGCGAACAGG